rnacentral:rRNA from 1 species
UACGGAGGGUGCAAGCGUUGUCCGGAUUUAUUGGGUUUAAAGGGUGCGUAGGUGGACUAGUAAGUCUGGUUUGAAAGCUGGUGGCUUAACCAUCAGAUGUGGCUGGAUACUGUUAGUCUAGAAGCGAUUGGAGGUUGGUGGAACGGGUCGUGUAGCGGUGAAAUGCAUAGAGAUGACCCAGAACCCCGAUUGCGUAGGCAGCCAACUACGGUCGUCUUGACACUGAGGCACGAGAGCAUGGGGAGCAAACAGG